UUAUAACCUUGAUAUGUAUAUAAUUAUGUAUUUUUGUUGUUAUAGUUGUUAUUUUUUUCUGGCAUAUUGGAAUUCUGCCAAGCGUGUAAAAAUUGUUUACACCGCCUCAAACAGACUUCAAACAGCUGAUUGCGUUUAUCACCUGAGUCGAAACAAUGCGGUUAAGACUUAGUGGAUAUAUGUCUACAUAUAUCAUGCACAGGUGGUUCCUUAUUAACACUCAUGCAUGAUUCAUGGUGGCCAGCAACUUCACUGUGAAAAAUAUCGAUACCUUGUGUUGCAUCGAAUUAUUUCAUUGUCCACUUUUUAUGGUAAUUAUAUGGUAAUGAGUUCUUCCCAAGGUUAUCAGCUGAACGCCUGCCAGAUUAUUCCGUUUUGUUCAUUUUUAAAUAGGAACCUCACUCGAUAAAGCGACGCACGCAUCUACCAGCCUUAUGGAAAAUUUCACCGAAUAUCUGACUUCUAAUAGGCUACUUGGACCUAACCUAUGGAGAAGAGAGCCCGAACCAGUGGCUAGAAAUGUCUGCUCUUUAAUAUAAACACUGCUAAGCAAUGUUCUGAAUGUAUAAUAUGUCGUUUGACAAGUUCGUUCCGUAAUUGAGAUAUAAAUAAUAAAGUAGGUCAAUGUUUAAUAAAUAGACGUAAUAAUAUUUCUUCUCAAACGUAGGUUUAGGUGUACUUUAUUUUUUAUCAGGAUAAAAGAUACUUUAUCACAUGACGGGUGGAUUUGUUGAAAUGUUCUAGCGCAGACGGCGUAUCAAUCUAGAUGGGAUUUGUCCCCCUUUUUUUCAUACACUCGAUUGAGGGAACCAAAAUGAAGUCUGCGAUUGAAUAUUCCAUGUUAAUUAACAUCAUAUCGACUGGCCAAUAACAUAAACAAGGACUAAAAGUAAUAGUUCUAAAUACUAACAUUUGGAGGUUUGUCUAUGAUUCAUUCAAAUCUAUGGGCGUUCCCGACUUUAAUAGACAUAAAUCUCUCCAGGCAUCAUUUCAAAAUGAAGGAAUCAAAGACCGCGUGGGUGGUGAUGGGGAACAAUUAUUAGUUGUAAUUAUGUGAUAAUGAUGCUGAUAGACUUUUAAGUUAGAUACUCUAUAGCGCAUAUCUUUAGAUAUAAAGACGUUAUUCGGAGUUCUUAGAGAACUCGUGUAGCGUUUCAUAUGGUAGUUAUGAAGUCAUCACGGAAAAGUUAGCCAUUAUCUUUCGUUCUUUUAUGUAUUUGUAUUGCUUUACAAAAUAGUUUUGAAUAAUAAAGGGUUCCAGAGACAUUAGUGAUAAACACAAGGUAAUGUCAAAACACACGCAUAAACUAGACGACCAGUCAAAGGCUUAGUCCUGUAUCCUUUGUUAGUAUUCUAGUUCUGUAAACGUAGUCGUUCGUGUGGGGCGAAGCCCGAGGUCCUGCGACAGUUGCAAUUCAAUUGCUGCCCAAGCAAAAUUUCUCAAAGUGUGGUUGGUGUAGAAAAGAAGGACGUUAAACCCCAUUUCAUUCAUUAAUUCUUUUAUUCUUUAUACUAUUUCUAUCAAUCAAUUUCUUUUUAUUUAAUUUAACCUCCGUCAUCAUUAGCCCAGUCGGAGCAGAAUAGAAGGGCGCUGAACCCAUUUCAUUUCAUUUAUUUCUAACUCAAAGUAAAGAAUUCGUCGAAACGUAUUUAAUUACACUUUUUCGAAAUCAUUUCAGAAUUUUUACAUUGCAUUUUCCCAUGUCAUAUAUGCCGAAUAUUGAUUAUGUCAAAUAAUGUUUGAUUG